rnacentral:lncRNA from 1 species
GAACGCCUUCGUCUAGUCAUUGAACAAAUAUUUGUUGAAGAUUUGUUAUGUGCCAAGAAUUCUUCUGCAAGGAACGAUGGGGUUUUGUAGUACCCUAUUUAGUCACGUGCUAUUCAACAGAUGUCACUGAUGCUGAGCGAUGUGGAUGCUAUGUUGUACGGCAUUUCUUCCCCAUCCUAUGGAGCUCUAACAGAGGCAUUGACAUUAGCAAAAU